UACGGAGGUGGCAAGCGUUGUUCGGAAUUACUGGGCGUAAAGGGCGCGUAGGCGGCUAGGCAAGUCAGGUGUGAAAGCCCCGGGCUUAACCCUGGAAUUGCAUCUGAAACUGCUGUGCUUGAGUUCUGGAGGGGGUAGUGGAAUUCCCAGUGUAGCGGUGAAAUGCGUAGAUAUUGGGAGGAACACCUGCGGCGAAGGCGGCUACCUGGACAGAAACUGACGCUGAGGCGCGAAAGCUAGGGGAGCGAACGGG
rnacentral:rRNA from 1 species